rnacentral:rRNA from 1 species
CGGGCAGGUGCGAAAGCAGGUCAUAGUGAUCCGGUGGUUCUGAAUGGAAGGGCCAUCGCUCAACGGAUAAAAGGUACUCCGGGGAUAACAGGCUGAUACCGCCCAAGAGUUCAUAUCGACGGCGGUGUUUGGCACCUCGAUGUCGGCUCAUCACAUCCUGGGGCUGAAGUAGGUCCCAAGGGUACGGCUGUUCGCCGUUUAAAGUGGUACGCGAGCUGGGUUUAGAACGUCGUGAGACAGUUCGGUCCCUAUCUGCCGUGGGCGCUGGAGAAUUGAGGGGGGUUGCUCCUAGUACGAGAGGACCGGAGUGAACGCACCACUGGUGUUCGGGUUGUCAUGCCAAUGGCAUUGCCCGGUAGCUAAGUGCGGAAAAGAUAAGUGCUGAAAGCAUCUAAGCACGAAACUUGCCCCGAGAUGAGUUCUCCCUGACUCCUUGAGAGUCCUGAAGGGACGUUGAAGACUACGACGUUGAUAGGCCGGGUGUGUAAGCGCAGCGAUGCGUUGAGCUAACCGGUACUAAUGACCCGUGAGGCUUAACCUU